UGACCAACCUGCCCCUAACUCUGGGAUAACCCCGGGAAACCGGAGCUAAUACCGGAUACGAGACCGAGUGGCAUCACACGGUCUGGAAAGUUUUUCGGUUAGGGAUGGGGUCGCGGCCUUUCAGCUUGUUGGUGGGGUAAUGGCCUACCAAGGCGACGACGGGUAGCCGGCCUGAGAGGGCGACCGGCCACACUGGGACUGAGACACGGCCCAGACUCCUACGGGAGGCA
rnacentral:rRNA from 1 species